rnacentral:rRNA from 1 species
AAGGGUGCGCAGGCGGACUAAUAAGUCGGGGGUUAAAUCCAUGUGCUUAACACAYGCAUGGCUUCCGAUACUGUUAGUCUAGAGUGUCGAAGAGGAAGAUGGAAUUUCCGGUGUAACGGUGGAAUGUGUAGAUAUCGGAAAGAACACCAGUGGCGAAGGCAGUCUUCUGGUCGAYUACUGACGCUCAGGCACGAAAGCGUGGGGAGCAAACAGGAUUAGAUACCCC